UUGAUUUGAAUUUCACUCGCCUUCUAAGUCCAAUUGUGACUGAGCGUUCAUGCGUUCAAUUGAACAGCAAUCAUGCAUGGAGUCCAUUCAACUGUUCAGAACCCGGUGGUAUAGGCACGGUCUACGCAUGUGAGCGCAAAUGUUCAGAAAACUUGCCCAUCGAAACAUAUCAAAACGUUACUUGGAUCGCUCCUGUGACAGCGUCUCUUCUGAGGCCGAAAUGUACCACACCUUUGGCAUCACAUUCUGCGUCAGGGACAUCAACUGCAAUGUCUUCCCGCAUGCCUGACGGCGGUGAAACCGGUGGAUCAUCAAACACCGCACCAGGAGCUUCAUCUACACGAACAUCACCUUAUUUAGAUGGAGUAGCUACGGCUGGUAUGUCUCAACAUUCCAUUCCAUCAGAUACCUCUGCAUAAAUUCAGAAUACAACUGCUGCUAAUGGUGAUGGUAAAACCGGUGAAUCAUUAAACAUCACACAAGGAGCUUCAUCUACCGGAACGUCUCCUUAUGUACAUGACACGGCUACUGCUGGUCGUGUUUCACAUUCCAUUUCAGGAAAUACCUCUGCCAAAAUUCAACAUACAACUGCUCCUCGUGUUAUUGAAACUUCGACGGAAGGCAGUCAGAGCGCCGCCUGUCAAUUCAAAGUCCAGGUGCGUUGGCUCAUGAUAUUGAUGGCAAUGUCGACAGUGCGUUCUCGAAUAACAUAUGUCAACUCUUCUGUUUGAUAUUUCAAAUGUUAAUAAGCUUUCGGCAAAUGUGUUUAUUUCAAUAAUACAUUUAUGGAUGUGACAUUAACGUUCUAUCUAGUUUGAACAUCACAUUGAAAGUACGUACAUGUACUUCUUACUAGAUUUAUAUAUUCCAUUGUUAAAUGUAGAAAUGCUUCUUCAUAACUUAAUCAUAAACACGUGAAUAAAUCUAUCAAAAUUA